rnacentral:rRNA from 1 species
AACCUGGUUGAUCCUGCCAGUAGUCAUAUGCUUGUCUCAAAGACUAAGCCAUGCAUGUCUAAGUAUAAACGCUUCUAUACUGUGAAACUGCGAAUGGCUCAUUAAAUCAGUUAUAGUUUAUUUGAUGGUUUCUUACUACUUGGAUAACCGUGGUAAUUCUAGAGCUAAUACAUGCACAAAGUCCCGACUCUUCGGAAGGGAUGUAUUUAUUAGAUCCAAAACCAAUGCGAGUCUCUCGGGGCUCGGUUUCUUGGUGAUUCAUGAUAACUGCUCGAACCGUAUGGCCCUUGCGCCGACGGUGCUUCAUUCAAAUUUCUGCCCUAUCAACUUUCGAUGGUACGGUAGUGGCCUACCAUGGUUGCAACGGGUGACGGAGAAUUAGGGUUCGAUUCCGGAGAGGGAGCCUGAGAAACGGCUACCACAUCCAAGGAAGGCAGCAGGCGCGCAAAUUACCCAAUCCCGACUCGGGGAGGUAGUGACAAUAAAUAACAAUGCCGGGCUAUUGUAGUCUGGCAAUUGGAAUGAGUACAAUCUAAAUCCCUUAACGAGGAACAAUUGGAGGGCAAGUCUGGUGCCAGCAGCCGCGGUAAUUCCAGCUCCAAUAGCGUAUAUUAAAGUUGUUGCAGUUAAAAAGCUCGUAGUUGGAUUUCGGGGUGGCCUGCCUGGUCCACCGCAAGGUGAGUACUGGUCAGCCGCCCUUCCUCUCGAAAGCCCCGACUGCUCUUCACUGCAGUGGUCGGGUAGUUCGGGACGUUUACUUUGAAAAAAUUAGAGUGUUCAAGGCAGGCUAUCGCCUGAAUACAUUAGCAUGGAAUAAUGGAAGAGGACCUCGGUCCUAUUUUGUUGGUUUCUAGGGCCGAAGUAAUGAUUAAGAGGGACAGUUGGGGGCAUUCGUAUUUAAUUGUCAGAGUGAAAUUCUUGGAUUUAUGAAAGACGAACUAGUGCGAAAGCAUUUGCCAAGGAUGUUUUUCAUUAAUCAAGAACGAAAGUUA